GUCCUUUCAUUUUACAGAAGAGAAAACUGUGAUCUAAAACAGUCUGGUGAUUUGCCUAAAGUCACAGACCCUCAAGGGCCCAAACUGUCCACUCCAGUCCAACUAGUCCAUCAAGAGUAUCCCAAGUCAUCUUGAGGACACUGCACCUUUGUUCAAGUUAUUCACUCCACUUGGAAGCUUCUUUCUGCUCCCAUUUAUCUUACUGAUCUUCUGUUCCUUCUCUAAAAUCCUGCUUAGCGAAACAGAAAGAAUUGGCCAAUCUCAUGCCCCAGACUUGGAUCUGAAUCUUAGAGUCAACCGAGGCCUAAUCUGCUUUCCUGCUUGGCAUCCUCAGCUUUCUGCUCAGCCCUUCCCAGCCAGCAUUUCUGUGUCUGAAUGUGGCCCUAACACCAAAGGUCUGCAUUUGAGGCCCUCAGUGCGUGUAAAUGAAGAUACAGAUGGUAAAGGUAAGUGGUACUGCUGUGUGCUGCCCCGAGUUCCACAUGUAUAUUGGCUAAGAUCUUAGAACAGCCCCAUGAGACUGGCAUUGUUGUUGCCCACAUGCGAUGGAGAAAGAAACUGUGAAACAGGGAGGUCGACUGACUUACCCAAGGUUUUCUAACUACUGAGUGGAGAUGGGGGGAUCUGAACCUAGAGAAUCUGGCUAGGCUCUUUUUUUUUUUUUUUUUAAGAUUUAUGUAUUUUAUUUCUGCCCGCGCUGGGUCGUGGUUGCUGUUCUCGGGCUUUCUCUAGUUGCGGCGAGCAGGGACUGCUCGUCAUUGCUGUGCGUGGGCUCCUCACUGUGGUGGCUUCUCUCGUUGCAGAGCAGAGGGUCUAGGCCUACGAGCUUCAGCAGUUGUGGCACACGGGCUUAGUUGCUCCUCAGCAUGUAGCAUCUUUCCAGACCACGCUUGGAACCGGUGUCCCCUGCAUUGGCAGGCAGAUUUUAACCACCAGACAGCCAGGGAAGCCCCAGAUCUGGCUAGAUUCUUAACCUUAACUUUUAUGUUCUACUGUGUGGUCCAGGCUGGGCCUUGGUUAUCCUGGGUGGUUUUUCCUAAGGGCUCUUUCUUGGCACUGUCAUGCUGGUGAAACCUUCUCCAGGCUGUGGAGGAUCUCAGGGCUGGUAUUUCCUGGUCCUCACGGGAUCUACUACUUCCCAGGCUGGUACCCAAGGACUGACUGGAGACUGAGGAGGAUCAGAGCAUACCGUUGAAUGUUGCCCUCAAGACUGGAAAGAACUGGGAGUUUCCUGAUGGUCUAGUGGUUAGGAUUCGGCCCUUUCACUGUUGCAGCCCAGGUUCAAGCCCUGGUCAGGGAACUGAGGUCCUGCAAGCUGUGUGGCGUGGGAAAAAAAAAAAGCUGGAAAGGUCUCAGGGUUCCCUCUCCAUGUCACCUGCAUAAAGUCCCUCCACUAACCCCACAUGUGCCCUUCUUUUUGCUAUAUUGAACCUGUGGUGUUUUGAAAGAGCUCUGGAUUAAGACGUAAGAAAACUAACUUAAAUCCUGGAUCCAUUAUCUAACAGCUGUGUUAUCUUGGCCAAAUGGCUUUAUGUUUAAAUCUUCAUUUUUUUCCAUCUGUAAAGUGGAAAUGAGAGUAAUGGCUACUAUUGAGCAACAGGACUUGGGACAUUGGUAAACCUGGAGCCCUUGGGUGUAAAUCAUACAGGACUGAACCGUUGUGAGGCAUAAUGCCAUUAUUCUCAUUCUUGCCCCAAAUGCUUUUCUUCUCUUCAGUUAUUUCCAUUAUAGCUGAUGUUAUCCUUUCGUCUGCUGUCAGGUGACACAAGGCCCUUGGCUUUCUCUGAAGGCUCUUCUGGGCUCUUCUGUCAUCUUGCAAGUAGCUGGACCUGUGCCAGGAGAAUGUGAAGUACAGAGAAUCAGUUUCACGUUGGCACCUUCAGUCACAAUCACAUCACUCUCGUAUCAUUUGAAUAUACCUUCUUGUGAAAGGAGAGCAUAUCUUAUGAAAAGUGCACAGAUCAUGAGCACUCGGUGGGUUAUCACAGUAUAACCUUUGUAUCCACCACCCAUGAAAGAAAAGGAACAGUAUCAGCCCCUAGAAGCCCUUGUUGUACCCACUUUGUGCCCCCUCCCAAUCACUGCUGCCUCCUUCCUACCCAUUAUGUCUGUGUUACCAAAGCCUAACACAAAUCCUUGUCAAGAAGCCCAUAAACAGUUGCUAAACUGAACUGAGCCCCUUUGAAAUAAUUUUGUGAUCUUAAGGUAAUCACUUCAACUUCCUUGGCCUUGAUUUACUCUUCUGAAAAACAGGGAUGGCAUUUCAGUAAUUUCAAGUUUUCAGUCCUAGCUGUACACUAGAAUCACCUGGGGAAUCUUUUGAAAAACUGUCCACCAUUCUUGGGCUCUGGAUAUGAACCUCUGAAGGUCCCAGGUAGUGGUGGUUUUUCAUAGCUUUCCAAGGAUUCCAGUGUACAGCCAUGAUCACUUGAAUCUUACCAGUUCCAAUCAAUACACAAUCACAUAUACAUUCAAAUCUCAGUUCCACCCCUGCUGUGGGUUGAAUUUUGUCCUCUGCAAAGAUGUUCUUUCUAACCCCCAGCACCUGAGAAUGUGGACUCAUUUGAAAACAGGGUUAUUGAAGAUGAGCAAACUAAGAUGAAGCCGUUAGAGUGUGUGUGUGUGUGUGUGUGUGUGUGUGUGUGUGUGUUAGUCACUC
rnacentral:tRNA from 1 species